UUGAACGCUGGCGGUAUGCUUAACACAUGCAAGUCGAACGGAAACGAUACUAGCUUGCUAGUAGGCGUCGAGUGGCGGACGGGUGAGUAACGCGUAGGAAUCUACCUGAUAGUGGGGGAUAGCCCGAAGAAAUUCGGAUUAAUACCGCAUAAUCUAUUCGUAGUAAAGUGGGGGACUUUCGAGCCUCACGCUAUCAGAUGAGCCUGCGUAAGAUUAGCUAGUUGGUAGGGUAAAAGCCUACCAAGGCUACGAUCUUUAGCUGGUCUGAGAGGAUGAUCAGCCACAUCGGGACUGAGACACGGCCCGAACUCCUACGGGAGGCAGCAGUGGGGAAUAUUGGACAAUGGGGGCAACCCUGAUCCAGCAAUACCGCGUGUGUGAAGAAGGCCUGAGGGUUGUAAAGCACUUUCAAUUGUGAAGAAAAGCUAGUGGUUAAUAGCCAUUAGCCUUGACGUUAACUUUAGAAGAAGCACCGGCUAACUCCGUGCCAGCAGCCGCGGUAAUACGGAGGGUGCAAGCGUUAAUCGGAAUUACUGGGCGUAAAGCGUGCGUAGGCGGUUUAUUAAGUCAGAUGUGAAAGCCCCGGGCUUAACCUGGGAACUGCAUUUGAAACUGGUCAACUAGAGUAUGGUAGAGGAAAGUGGAAUUUCUGGUGUAGCGGUGAAAUGCGUAGAUAUCAGAAAGGAACAUCAAUGGCGAAGGCAACUUUCUGGACCAAUACUGACGCUGAGGUACGAAAGCGUGGGUAGCAAACAGGAUUAGAUACCCUGGUAGUCCACGCCGUAAACGAUGAUAACUAGCCGUUGGGGGGAUUUACCCCUUAGUGGCGAAGCUAACGCGUUAAGUUAUCCGCCUGGGGAGUACGGCCGCAAGGUUAAAACUCAAAGGAAUUGACGGGGACCCGCACAAGCGGUGGAGCAUGUGGUUUAAUUCGAUGCAACGCGAAGAACCUUACCUGGUCUUGACAUCCUGAGAACUUUCUAGAAAUAGAUUGGUGCCUUCGGGAACUCAGUGACAGGUGCUGCAUGGCUGUCGUCAGCUCGUGUCGUGAGAUGUUGGGUUAAGUCCCGUAACGAGCGCAACCCCUAUCCUUAUUUGCCAGCACAUCAUGGUGGGAACCAUAAGGAGACUGCCGGUGAUAAACCGGAGGAAGGCGGGGACGACGUCAAGUCAUCAUGGCCCUUAUGACCAGGGCUACACACGUGCUACAAUGGAGCGUACAGAGGGUUGCUAAGCCGCGAGGUGGAGCCAAUCCCAGAAAACGUUUCGUAGUCCGGAUCGAAGUCUGCAACUCGACUUCGUGAAGUCGGAAUCGCUAGUAAUCGCGAAUCAGCAUGUCGCGGUGAAUACGUUCCCGGGCCUUGUACACACCGC
rnacentral:rRNA from 1 species